rnacentral:rRNA from 1 species
AUGUGGUAUCUUUGUAAGGGAGUUGUGUUGACCAAACACAACCUCGCACGAUGCAACUGGCCAGGGAGUAAGAAGUGUUGUUUUUAUACUCAUGACGAGACAAUCAAAUACCUCUUUUUCCAAUGCAAGUUUGCACGUUCUACGUGGUCAAUCAUCCAAAUAGCGUCAAAUUUAUAUCCGCCCACAAGUGUUGCCAAUAUAUUUGGUCACUGGUUGGACGGUAUUCCAAAUAGGUUUAAAGCGCUUAUAAGGGUGGGAGCGUACGCCUUAAUUUGGUCGCUCUACCUAUGUAGAAACGAUUUGGUUUUUAAUGGAAAAAAUGCUUCUCCUAUGCAGGUUAUUUUCCGUCGUACGCACUCGCUUCAUACGUGGUCUAUGCUACAACGACCGGAGCACCAAUCGCUGUUCAAGGCGGUGUGUACGUGGUUGGAGCAGGUGGCUACGGAGGUUUUUUCCCAGCAUGGGUGGCAGCAUAACCUCCGAAUCGAUCCACCACCACCUUUGACAUAG